AGUACAGGCGAGUGAAGCGCCAAACACACAAAUUUGAAAUACCACCGCAAGGGCCGAGUUGUAAUUUGUAGAGGCUGUGUGCGCUACCGCCACGGUUUAAUUUUCUUGGAACAGGAGGCCAAAGAGGGUGAGAGUCCCGUCUUGGACCGCGGUAGCACUCGUGUAAAACUCCUUCGACCAGGCGAGUUGUUUGGG
rnacentral:rRNA from 1 species